UACGUAGGAGGCAAGCGUUGUCCGGAAUUACUGGGUGUAAAGCGCGUGUAGGCGGCAGACUAAGUCUGUGGUGAAAUCGCUCGGCUCAACUGGGCAGGGUCCAUGGAAACUAGUCAGCUGGAGGACGGUAGAGGUGAGUGGAAUUCCCGGUGUAGCGGUGGAAUGCGUAGAGAUCGGGAAGAACAUCGGUGGCGAAGGCGGCCUGCUGGGCUCUUGCUGACACUGAGGCGCGACAGCGUGGGGAGCAAACAGG
rnacentral:rRNA from 1 species